rnacentral:rRNA from 1 species
UGGGGAAUUUUGGACAAUGGGCGCAAGCCUGAUCCAGCAAUGCCGCGUGCAGGAAGGAGGCCUUCGGGUUGUAAACUGCUUUUGUACGGAACGAAACGGUCCUGGUUAAUACCUGGGGCUAAUGACGGUACCGUAAGAAUAAGCACCGGCUAACUACGUGCCAGCAGCCGCGGUAAUACGUAGGGUGCGAGCGUUAAUCGGAAUUACUGGGCGUAAAGCGUGCGCAGGCGGUUUUGUAAGACAGGCGUGAAAUCCCCGGGCUCAACCUGGGAAUGGCGCUUGUGACUGCAAAGCUGGAGUGCGGCAGAGGGGGAUGGAAUUCCGCGUGUAGCAGUGAAAUGCGUAGAUAUGCGGAGGAACACCGAUGGCGAAGGCAAUCCCCUGGGCCUGCACUGACGCUCAUGCACGAAAGCGUGGGGAGCAAACAGGAUUAGAUACCCAUGUAGUCCCUGAGCGGGCUGGCAAGGCGCAU